GGAGCGAAACUCAAAAAAUAAGUCUCAGUUCGGAUUGAAGGCUGAAAUUCGCCUUCAUGAAGCUGGAAUUGCUAGUAAUGGCAGGUCAGCAUACUGCCGUGAAUACGUUCCCGGGCCUUGUACACACCGCCCGUCACACCAUGAGAGUUGGGAAUACCCGAAGCCUGUGAGCUAACAUUUAUGAGGCAGCAGUCGAAGGUAGAAUCAAUGAUUGGGGUGAAGUCGUAACAAGGUAAC
rnacentral:rRNA from 1 species